rnacentral:tRNA from 1 species
GGCCCCAUCGUCUAUCGGUUAGGACGUCAGAUUUUCAAUCUGAAAAGACGGGUCCGACUCCCGUUGGGGCUA